rnacentral:rRNA from 1 species
GAUGAACGCUGGCGGCGUGCCUAAUACAUGCAAGUCGAGCGAACGGACGAGAAGCUUGCUUCUCUGAUGUUAGCGGCGGACGGGUGAGUAACACGUGGAUAACCUACCUAUAAGACUGGGAUAACUUCGGGAAACCGGAGCUAAUACCGGAUAAUAUUUUGAACCGCAUGGUUCAAAAGUGAAGGACGGUCUUGCUGUCACUUAUAGAUGGAUCCGCGCUGCAUUAGCUAGUUGGUAAGGUAACGGCUUACCAAGGCAACGAUGCAUAGCCGACCUGAGAGGGUGAUCGGCCACACUGGAACUGAGACACGGUCCAGACUCCUACGGGAGGCAGCAGUAGGGAAUCCUCCGCAAUGGGCGAAAGCCUGACGGAGCAACGCCGCGUGAGUGAUGAAGGUCUUCGGGUCGUAAAACUCUGUUAUUAGGGAAGAACAUAUGUGUAAGUAACUGUGCACAUCUUGACGGUACCUAAUCAGAAAGCCACGGCUAACUACGUG